GGAGGAGUGUGUUUACAUUCUUAACUCACGCUGCGAGCGGACGGAUUUAAGCCCCGCCUUUUCCUUCCCGCUUUUCAAAUUGGUUGGUUGCCUUCCUCUUUGUCAGUCAGAGGAGCGGUUUCCACAAUUGGUGAGCGGCUGUCCCCCCGACUUUAUUUUGCUGGGCGUCUACGUGUCAGCUUGAUUGCGAGAGUAUCUCGAAGUUUUAGGUGGAAGAUGUUGGAGACUAACAGAGCCGCAGGUAGCGACGGAGACGAGGAGCAGGUUUCUGGUGCUGAAGUCAUCGCCCAGGCCCUGAAAACGCAAGAUGUGGAGUACAUGUUUGGCAUCGUAGGCAUCCCAGUGACCGAAAUCGCCGUUGCGGCCCAGAAGAUGGGCAUCAGAUAUGUUGGGAUGAGGAAUGAGCAAGCGGCUUGUUAUGCUGCCUCUGCGAUUGGAUAUCUGACAGGCAGGCCUGGAGUAUGCCUUGUUGUUUCUGGCCCAGGUCUCAUCCAUGCUUUGGGUGGUAUGGCAAAUGCAAACAUGAACUGUUGGCCCUUGAUUGUGAUUGGUGGUUCUUCUGAAAGAAGUCAGGAAACUAUGGGAGCCUUCCAGGAGUUUCCUCAGGUUGAAGCUUGUAGAUUAUAUAGCAAGUUCUCUGCCCGGCCAAGCAGCAUAGAGACUAUUCCCUCUAUUAUCGAGAAGGCAGUGAGAAGCAGCAUUUAUGGUCGUCCAGGUGCUUGUUAUAUUGACAUACCUGCAGAUUUUGUGAACUUGCAGGUGAAUGUGAAUUCUGUAAGGUACACGGAGUGUUGCAUGCCACCUCCUGUUAGUAUGGCAGAGACCUCCGCUAUAUGUAUGGCAGCAACUGUUAUUAGAAAUGCCAAGAAGCCCCUUCUUAUCAUCGGGAAAGGUGCUGCUUAUGCCCAUGCAGAGGAGGGUAUCAGGAAAUUGGUGGAGCGGUGUAAAUUGCCGUUUUUGCCCACCCCCAUGGGAAAGGGUGUUAUCCCUGAUAACCAUCCGAACUGUGUGGCUGCUGCCAGAUCCAGGGCUUUGCAAUUUGCUGAUGUAAUUGUGUUAUUUGGUGCCCGAUUAAAUUGGAUUUUGCAUUUUGGACUGCCUCCAAGAUACCAGCCAGAUGUGAAGUUUAUCCAGGUUGAUAUCUGUGCAGAAGAAUUGGGGAAUAAUGUAAAGCCUGCUGUGACUUUGCUAGGAGACAUAAAUGCUGUCACUAAACAGCUUUUAGAACAAUUUGAUAAAACGCCAUGGCAGUAUCCUCCAGAGAGCAGCUGGUGGAAAACUCUGAGAGAAAAAAUGAAGAGCAAUGAAGCCACAUCCAAGGAAUUAGCUUCCCAAAAAUCUCUGCCUAUGAAUUAUUACACAGUAUUCUAUCAUGUUCAAGAACAGCUACCCAGAGACUGUUUUGUAGUAAGUGAAGGAGCAAAUACUAUGGAUAUUGGACGCACUGUGCUUCAGAACUACCUCCCUCGUCACAGGCUUGAUGCUGGUACUUUUGGAACGAUGGGAGUUGGUUUGGGCUUUGCCAUUGCAGCCGCUAUACUGGCUAAAGCUAGAAACACAGGUCAGCGGGUCAUCUGUGUGGAAGGAGACAGUGCAUUUGGGUUUUCUGGCAUGGAAGUGGAAACCAUCUGUAGGUACAACUUGCCCAUCAUUCUUUUGGUGGUGAAUAAUAAUGGAAUUUACCAAGGUUUUGAUGUGGAUAGUUGGAAGGAAAUGUUAAAAUUUGGAGAUGCUACUGCAGUGGCCCCUCCCGUCUGUCUUUUGCCAAACUCACAUUACGAGCAGGUUAUGACUGCGUUUGGAGGCAAAGGGUAUUUCGUACAAACACCGGAAGAGCUCCAAAAAUCACUGAGGGAGAGUUUGGCAGACACAACUGCACCUUCUCUUAUCAAUAUCAUGAUUGAGCCACAAGCCACGCGGAAAGCCCAGGAUUUUCACUGGCUGACACGCUCUAAGAUAUAAAGAUGUCCAGGAAUGGUCGUGAGGAGUUUUCUUUCCUGAGCAGCAAAAGAUGACAAGAGAAUCUCCCUACAAGGAGUCACUGAGGCUGCAGGGCUUGAAUGUCUUCCCCAAAGGAUGUGAAAUCGGAAAAGAAUCCCUACCCUUUUUAAGUUGGCACUGGUGUUCCAGGAUGCCUGGAGUAAAAGCUUUGCAGGUUGGUGGGACUCAGCUGAUUCUCCUAACCUCGCUUGGGGCCUCUCUCACAGCGGCCAUCAGAUGGCAGCUGGAACUGGGCCCGCUGGAGGCUCCAUUGGCCUGGAAGUCCUGAGUUGCCUUCUUUACUCUGAGAAAGUAAAAAUCAGCUCAGACCAUGAAUGUAAACAUCUGCCUAGCCAUUCAUCAGGCUGGAAUCAGAGACAUGGAUAAUGUCAGACGCACAGUUAACAGAAGGAAAUAUUUUAGCCAAGGACACACUGCAGCUGCAAGUGCCCUAACAUCCAUCUUUCUCGUUCAUGAGAAACUUUGCUUUCUAAAAUCAUAGAUUAUCAGGAAUUUUUAUCAGUAAGCGUGACAUGCCCAAACAGCCUUGAUUUGCGAUGCACAUGCAGAGUUUCUGGACACAGAUUUCUCCAUCUGUUAUAACUUGAUAGCAUUCUGGGAAACAGGACCUCGGGGUCCGCUUCACAGUCCAGAUCUGACAUGGAAUCCUUUACACGGAGCCUGCUUUGCUUUGAGCCAAUUGAACCUUUGAUUUAAUACUGAAAUCAUUUAUUUGUGUAUUCUUAAAUGGUGAAUUUCGUGGUAUGUGAAUUUAUGAUCUAUGAAAGAUGGCAUCCCAAUUUUUUUAAAUGAUAGCCAUCGAAAGAAUUAGAAUGUUAUGUGUGGCUUUGAAUCCAUUGGCACUUCCUAGGCCAGCCAGGAUUAUUGUCAUAAUCCCAUUGCCCGGCUCCUAGCAGACCUCCAUUGUUCCAAUUUGUAACUGGGUUGGAAUACUGACACUCUCUCAUGCACCCCCAUCUUUUGUCCUCCGUCUGCACCCCACUCAUCCUCCUUGAGCCCUCUCAUCCCUCCUCAUAUAAUGCAUACGUAUUCUGCAAAUGCUUUGCAUGAAAAUUGUUGGCUUUUAAUGUCACCUUACACUGAGUUUCCUCAAUGACCUCAAUAAAAUGAUUUCUUCAAUUCA